ACCCAAAUGGGAUUUGCCAUCAGGAAACUGUUCCAGAGGUAGCGGGGCCGGACACUUGCCGCAUACGGGGCCACGAGCCCUGUGCCAGUCCCCCUCCUGACAGUCCUGCUAUGGGCCGCUGGGGGCACAGGAAACGCAGGAGACCAUCCUGUUGUCAGGGGCGGAGCCAAUUUCAUCAUCGUCGUUACCACCUGUCCUCACGUGCUCUCGACCAACACAGCACUAAAUGGCUGAGUUCUUGCAAAUUGUCCCUUUUCCAGAAAAUGAGUAAAAACUACACUUGGAAGUAUCCUAGAAGAGUAGGCUAUGAUGCUGGUGUGCUCAAGACGUUUUGGGAGAAAAGAAUUGAGCUUCACACAAAACAGCAGCAAAGCGAGGACAUGAGGCUCCGCCGGAGUGCCUUGGACAGGCUCCGCAGCGAGUGGGCUCAGAAGCUGGAGAAGAGAAACGAGAUGCUGCAGAGCUCGAGGGAGGCACCCCAGCCCUCGUCCCUGCUGGGAGUCCAGCCCGUCCGCGCCCCGGACAAGACUGCGGCCUGAACCGCGCGGAGCAGAGAUGCCGUCCGAGCCCCCAGGGGUGAGUGGGCAUCUUCCUCAGAGUCACCGAGACUCUCACCUCGUUGAUGCUCUGACAACCUAGCUUUUGGCUCACGCUGCGCUGAAUGCUGCCGUGGAACAGCUUUUCCAGCACAUAGUAGGUGCCCAAUAAAAUCUAAGGCGAUUGGAGUGAAUGCUGUGUGCAAAAUUUUCUUCAUAUCUUUAAAAUUUACAUGUAUUAAAAGCUUACCAUGAUAUUAUUAACUUGCAAAGAGCCCGUUAUUAACUUGCCGGGUCCCGGGGUUUUCUGACCUUCUCCUGCCUGCACACUCAUUUCACCUUUGAUCAAAAUAUGUGCACAAGUCCCACUAAGGAUAACACCUGACCUGACAUUGUAUAAAGUUUGCUGCUUUUCCAGAAUUCCUUUAAAUACUUCAUUGGUGACCCAGAAUAUCUCAGAAAACUAAGCGUCCUUAUUUUUAUAAUUGGAAAAGUUCAGUUGGAGAGACACACAUUUCCUGAGUCCACAAAGGCCAUUAGAGUCAGGAUUUGAUGCUUUACACUCAGUGGUGUCCCUCCUGGCGCCCCGGCUGUGGCCAUGACCACCUGGACGGGCAGGAGGGCAGAGCACACAGCAGAGGCCAGGCCACCGGAGGACUUGGGGCCUGUCUCAGCUACCAAUGGGGACCAGGACUCAGCUGGUGCCGACCCAACUCCACAGCCCAUGUGCUCACUUGAGCAUGCCCUGCGGUAAUCCACUGUGUCCCGUCCUUGGUGACACAGACACUGCCGGUUUGGGGGCUGGUAUCCAGCUUGUGGCCCCUCUGGAAUCUUGCAUCAUCUCUCCAGGCUUAACUGCUUACUGGUUUUGGGCUCUGUUUUGUUUUGACCGUCCAAUCAAGUUGGCCCGGAGAGGGAAUGAGCGCAGCUUCACUGGCUGUGGGCGGCUCUCCAGGGAGUUAACCAGAGAAAAAAAUGGUGAUGCCGAUAGCCAAGUGGUGUUCUGUGCCCAACGCAGACUCUUCAUGGGGCAUUUCCAGAGCUCACCACUCGGACUGGGGAAAGGCCCGGAACCUGCACAGAGCAUGGCUGUGGGGCUUGCCAAAUGAACGAGUGGAGAAAAGCCAGACGCCCCUUUAGACCGACCAUAAACACAAGUUCCCUUGGUCCCCUGCCCCGGGGUGUGUGUCAUCGCCCGUGACUCAGGAGAUUCCAUUGAUAAACACCCUGGGGAAAUAAUAGCCCUAAAAAUAGCUGGAGAAUAGAAGUCACUCGCUAAUACUCGCAAAGCCCCAAGCUGCCGGAGGGUAAUUUUAUCUGACGACAUACUUAGUACAUUGUUACCGCCAACACCAAUAAACUGAGGCCCUGGGUCAGACAGUUUGGGGUGAAAGGGCACAUUCAGGCAGCAGUCCCAUUGUGAGGCUAUGCAGAACCUUCCAGAACAGCCACACCCUCCUUGCUGCCUGUCAUGAUCUCAUUAUUCUCCAGUGACCCAUUCGCCAUCCCAGUAACGGCAGAAGCCAAAAUCGCAUGAACACCAGGCAAUUUGCAGACCACAGCUUUGCCGUCUUUAUCAUCCAUCUCUCUUGGGGCAAAGCUGAGCUGGACUCCGAGGUUGGAAGGCGCUCAGUGAGGAGGAGAGAGUGGGAAGAAGACAGGCUGGCCUCGCAGGAGGGAAGAGGAAACUGAGACACAGAGAAAUGAGGACGUGGCUCAGACCAUUGCUCUCUCAUGGGACCUGGAGUAGGCGCCUUGCCGGACUGAGAUUACGGGUACCUGUGAUCCAUCUACUGAGCUUGCUGACGCUUCUCUACAACAGUCUUGCUGCUCAGAUCUGACGUUUAUUUUCAAACAACAGGAUGAUGCCAGCUUGCUGGUUCGUUUCUGUCCUGCUAAAUGGUUGAAUGGUUUUCCAUACCUCGCACCAAAUUUUGGCAAAUUGAAUAUGGUUGACUAGAACGAUAUACCUCUGAAUAUUAAAAGUAACUCUGAAGUUGUGGCUCCUUGUUUUUCAUAACUGAGACAGUGUUGGGAAGUUAGGACAACACACCCUGGAGGCAAACUGCCCAGAUGACCACUCAGGGCUGCGUGGCCGGGGCCUCUCCUCAGCCCGCUGUGCCUUGGUUUCCUCAUCAGUAAGAAGAACAGAGGACCACAACCCCUUAUUCAGAUGUACUUGGGACUCAGAAUAUCUCCACUUCUGGAAGGUACCACAGAGCACAUCCCGGAAGUUCCCUAACACCUGUCAUCAGGCAUCCCAGUGUUUCUGCUGGGAAAACGCAUGGGAGGUUCCUCCCGCUGGGACAUGAGAAGGUCUUGCUGCCAAGGGAGCUACAAAAAAGGCUUCCAGUUUUCAGGACAAUUUGGACUUGGGAGUUACAGAAGAGGGCCUGGGGAGCUGUGGCGGGGAAAAGCAGGGCAGCCGGCUCACGUCCCGAGGUGCCGGCCUAUGGCUCUCUGCAGCGCAAGCCGCGGGCAACGCGGGUCAUCGCGGGCGGUACCCAUGACAGUUCGCGGGAGAGCAGAGCUGGCGGCACCCGCUGCUCCCUGCGGAGGCCUGUCUGGUGUUGGGGUCUGAGUUCCACUCCAAGGUGCAGAAAGGAAAACUCAAUCAAGAACAGAGCAGCUUAAAUGUGGACAGCGUCCCUAGACAUCGCCGGCUGUGUCCUGUCUCCUUUUUUUCAGUGCGUCUUUUCAAAAUGAGAGCCUUUCCCUGCCUAGCCAAAAUUAAAUUACCAUACUUGACAAUACGUAAAGAUUCCUUCACAUCAGCCAAGAUUGAGUCCAUCUUCAAAGGUCCCCAGUUGCCCAAAAGUUCCUGUGACAACAGGUUUGUCCGAACAAGACCAUGCAGGGAACCUGGUGACGUCCCGGACUGACUCGAGGAGACUGCUGUCCCGCGGAUGCCCCGCUUCUGACCUGGGGGUGCUGCCUUGUGCUGUGUUUGCUCCUCUAUCCUCUCUCGUUCCUUAAGAAUGGAAAUUCACUCUGAAGGCUGGACAUGUUCAAGAUGGACACUGGGCUGGGCCACCUCUCACAGAGGACCCGCACGUGGGCUCCGCCGUGAGGCCGGGUGUGAUGUCUGUGCAGAUCCACCGGCCUCCCUCUCUCUCUGAAACCAGACGAGUAUCCGGGUCCCCACAGGCCCUCAUCUGAGCGUCUCAACACAGAUUCUAUCCUUGGCCUCAUCAAUCUUCUCAACAGGGAUUGACAAGGAUGGUUUUCUAAUGCUGUCACUCCUCCCUCAUUAUCAGCCAACAUUCCUUUUUAAAGUGGGUCUUUCCUCACAACCAGAGUGCCCUGGUUCUGCCGACAUUCGGUGCCUAGCAGGAAGCAGGAAGCAGGAUAAUGCUUAAAUGUUUCCUUUGGCCAACAAUAUUCAACAGGAAGAGCUGGUUUAAUGUCCAACUUUCUCUCGUGUGAGAGCGAUUAUGGAAUAGUGGAUUUACACAGGUCAGAUGUAGUCAGUCAACCCUGAGCAACAUUCUUUUUGAUGCUCAAAGUGUCACAGAUUUGACCAGUGGGACCUUUUUCAAAUUGGCCUGUUGUCUUUUUGACAGAACUCCAUUAAUCCUUGAAAGCUCUCUUGCUGUCUGGAACAACAAACUGUUCUGAGUUCAUUGUGUGCUCAUUAUGUGCAGAAGAGAAAAUGAAUAAACAAACUGUGGUAUAUUUGAUAGUAAAAUAAUAUUCAGAAAUAAAAAGUAGCAAACUGCUGAUACAUGCGACCAUGUGGCUGAGCCUCAGACCCCAGCCUGCACACCCGCCAGGCUAGAGAACCAUCCUUGGUUUUCUCUGCUCAGGCUCCUCCCCACCUUCACACAUGGUGUUAU